CGUAGCAUGUCUAUUGUCAUGGUCUCUUGACUUUCCUACCGUCACUUCAUGAAACUUUUACAUGUUUGGACUGUUAAUAACAGCCCGGUGUUGAUUCUGUAGAGUUAAAGUCUAGCGGAUUGAUGUCUGCCUCUGUGCUGUCUCGACGGGUGCCCAGGCUACGAUACCUCCAAGGUUUAAGAAAAGACUUGACCAAGGCUCAGCAUGUGUCAGUCAAACAAGAGGAUGAGACUGAUGAUCAUGAGGAGAAGAAAGGAGUAUUGCAACACCAGGAUGCCUCUCCCAAAGAAGGAUACAGGCUGUAUUACAACCCUUCCUCAUAUCAUCACUCUGUGUGGACCUCUGGAAGCUCCCGGAGCCAAAGAGAUCAUGAUGAGGAUGAACAGUGUCUCUCCACUCUCGCACCUUCCUUCUGGCAACAGAGCAAUCGCUACAGUGUGAGUUGCUUGCGGCACCUCUCCACCUCAAAAAACCCACUUCUUGACUUAGCCUUCAACAAAGGCCCUGAACCUGAGAUGCCAUCAAUUUCACCUUACCACAGAAAACCCACACCACCAGAUGUUAAAGUAAAUACACGUGGCUUCCUCAAAUGUCGGCCCGAGUAUGCCUCCAUGACCGUUGACCUCACCCAAUUGCGUUGCCCAAUAAAAUGGGACGAGGCCUUGCGGCUGCUCCAAAAGAUGAAUGUUUUAAAAGGCAAAAUGAAACCAUCUGAUGUGUCUCAGUUUCUUGCGGAGCUCAGCUGCUUGCAACCGGAGAUGAUGUCAUUAGUGACGAGUGACCAGCGCUUCAUCAUGCUCCUCCGAUAUGCAGUGGAACACCUUCGCCUUUUUACUGAACUGCAACUGCUGGACGUGCUGCAGUCCUUUGUGUGGCUGGACUUGCCCUCCGCCCACACUGUACUCGGGCUGUUUGAGGUCGAGUUUAACCGCCGGGCCGACCGUUUGAGUUUACAUCAGUUGAUGUUAACUGCUGACUUGUGGCGUUGCAUUGGGAGGCAGGUACCCCAGUUCUUACAGCAACUCUAUGAUUCAGUCCGUCUGCAUCGGCAACAGAUCGGGGUCCCUGAACUGGUGCAUCUGUUGUAUAUAAUGGGAGAGAGUAGGAAUUGCCCAAAAGACUUGAUCCAUCCUCUCGAGCAGCUUCUCAUGCGUCAUUUACAACAACUGCUCCCUGAAGAGGUUGGUGCUGUAUGCUUGGGGCUCUUUAAAUCCCAGUCUUCAUUAUCUGAGGCUGCAGUGACUCGUGUUGUUGAUAAGGGGUGCUCCUUUGUACAGGAGAUGAGCGACUUCGCCGUUGUGAAUGUGCUGAAAUUUCUUCGAUUCAGCUACUUGUAUCACAAGGCGUGGCUGCAGGCCAUGGAACAGGAAGUUAUUCGACGGGCCCCCAACAUGGGUGUCCAGGGGUUGAUGCAUGUGGCUCUGGCCUGUUCAGCUCUCCAUCACCACAAUGAUAACAUCCUAAUGGCAAUCGCUGAGGGUGUUCCCCCGCUGGUGCCACACUGUAGGAGUAAAGACUCAUGCAAACUGUUGUGGGCCUUGGGCACAUUAGGGUUUCUCCCAGACCAGAGCCCAAGCUUCUACCCGAGCCUCACCGAGGCCCUGAGAAUGAGAAAAGCUGAAUUCCAGCGAUACCCAGAGCACCUGCUUACUGGUCUUCUUGGCCUGGCCUUUGUCUCUCAGUUCCCAGAGGACCUUAUUACAUUAGCUUUAAGUCCUGACUUUAUCAAGUUAGCACUGAAAUCCAAACAGGAGCUGAAAAAAGACUUGUUCACUUUAGAUGAAGCCGUAGGUCGAGAGUUGCCUCAGUGGAGUGGCCCGCGGCUAAGCUGCGAACUGAGAGAGGAGGUGACAGAAAUGCUGUGGAAGUUUGCUCAGUCGGACUUGUGCCUGAAACCAGAGGUCCGGGAGGCAGAAUCUGCUCUGCAGGAUCUGCUCGGAGGAGAGAAGUUUGUACGCAAGAGAAUGAUUCUCCCCCACACUCGCUCAAUCGACCUGGAAGUACAUUUUGACUCCAGUGAAAAGCCAAUCGCCUUGGACCCAGCAUCCCACACAACAACACCAUCUCAAGAGAGCAGUUCAUCAGCAUGUCCUUCUCAUCAGCGUUGGGGGAGAAUGAAAAAAGGAGCCACUAUAACUGAGGAUCUUUUAGCACAGCUAAUGAAUAACAAAAACGCCACAGAACCUUUAACCACAUCUCCUACAGUUAAGCCUACAUCUCUUCACAGAGGUGGGAGACUCCAUCAAAGUCUACUGUUUGACACCGAGCUCGACCUGACCAGUGAUAUUACAGAGACUCUUGACGAACCCUGCGGCCUGGGCUCGGCCCCUCGGGACUCCAAAGGCACAGUCAAACUUGCUAUCCAAGUUUCCAGCAGGAACCACUAUUGCUACCAUUCACAGCAGUUGAUGGGCAUUCAUGCUAUGAAGAGGAGACAUUUGAAGUUGGCUGGAUACAGGGUUGUAGAGCUUUGCCAUAAGGAGUGGAUUCCAAUGCUGAGGAAAAGCAGGGCUGAGAAGCUCGCACACAUGCGCUGCAAAGUGUACAACAGUCUGCCAUGAUUUUGUGACCGUCAAGAACCCAAAGAAUCCCAGAAAACUCUGAUCAAUUAAGAAGAGGAACAUGUUUGUUUAUUCCCACCCACCAUUAACCUUUUUGACUAAACGAAAGUUUGGGGUUCCUUACUGGAGCUGCUGCCCCCGCGACCCGACCCCGGAUAAGCGGUAGACGAUGGAUGGAUGGAUAAUCAGAAUUUGUCUCAUGAAAUUAAGAAGUAUAUUUUCCAGAGCGUGUCCUGCACAUCCCUUGCUCUUAAGUGCAGGCAAACCAUCUUCUGCAUAAUGGGAGUACAUAUCUUAGUCAGUAAUUAGACCCCAGUAGCCUUGUGAUGGGAAAAUACAGAAACUGAGUGCUUAACACAGCAGGAGGUGAACUGCUGAUGAACUGCUGAUGAACUGCUGAUGAACUAUAGAUCAAUCAAAGAACAGUCCUCAGUUGAUUGAUCAGCACAUCUGUCAUUUACUGUAAACAAGUAAUAAACCAAGAAUGAUCUGAAUCAGU